AGAGUUUGAUCCUGGCUCAGAUUGAACGCUGGCGGAAUGCUUUACACAUGCAAGUCGAGCGGCAGCGCGGGGCAACCUGGCGGCGAGCGGCGAACGGGUGAGUAAUGCAUCGGAACAUGUCCAAUCGUGGGGGAUAGCCCGGCGAAAGCCGGAUUAAUACCGCAUAAGCCCUAAGGGGGAAAGCCGGGGACCGCAAGGCCUGGCGCGAAUGGGUUGGCCGAUGUCCGAUUAGCUAGUUGGCGGGGUAAAGGCCCACCAAGGCGAUGACCGGUAGCUGGUCUGAGAGGAUGAUCAGCCACACUGGGACUGAGACACGGCCCAGACUCCUACGGGAGGCAGCAGUGGGGAAUUUUGGACAAUGGGGGGAACCCUGAUCCAGCCAUUCCGCGUGAGUGAAGAAGGCCUUCGGGUUGUAAAGCUCUUUUGUCCGGAACGAAACGGUCUGCGUGAAUAGCGCCGACUACUGACGGUACCGGAAGAAUAAGCACCGGCUAACUACGUGCCAGCAGCCGCGGUAAUACGUAGGGUGCGAGCGUUAAUCGGAAUUACUGGGCGUAAAGCGUGCGCAGGCGGUUUUGUAAGCCAGAUGUGAAAUCCCCGGGCUUAACCUGGGAAUGGCAUUUGGGACUGCAAGGCUGGAGUGUGGCAGAGGAGACUGGAAUUCCUGGUGUAGCAGUGAAAUGCGCAGAUAUCAGGAGGAAUACCGGUGGCGAAGGCGGUUCUCUGGGCCUUACCUGACGCUGAGGAGCGAAAGCGUGGGGAGCGAACAGGAUUAGAUACCCUGGUAGUCCACGCUGUAAACGUUGGGCGCUAGGUGUGGGGACCUUCCACGGUUUCCGCGCCGUAGCUAACGCAUUAAGCGCCCCGCCUGGGGAGUACGGCCGCAAGGCUAAAACUCAAAGGAAUUGACGGGGGCCCGCACAAGCGGCGGAGCAUGUUGCUUAAUUCGACGCAACGCGAAGAACCUUACCAAGGCUUGACAUUGCCCGGAAACACUCAGAGAUGGGUGCCUCUUCGGAUCGGGUGACAGGUGGUGCAUGGCUGUCGUCAGCUCGUGUCGUGAGAUGUUGGGUUAAGUCCCGCAACGAGCGCAACCCUUGUUCAAUGUUGCCAGCACGCUCCUUCGGGGGUGGUGGGGACUCAUUGGAGACUGCCGGGGUCAACUCGGAGGAAGGUGGGGAUGACGUCAAGUCAUCAUGCCCCUUAUGUCUUGGGCUGCAAACAUGCUACAAUGGCCGGUACAGAGGGCUGCGAUACCGCAAGGUGGAGCGAAUCCCUAAAAGCCGGUCUCAGUUCGGAUUGGGGUCUGCAACUCGACCCCAUGAAGUCGGAGUCGCUAGUAAUCGCAGACCAGCAACUCUGCGGUGAAUACGUUCCCGGGCCUUGUACACACCGCCCGUCACGUCACGAAAGUCGGCAACACCCGAAGCCCGUGGCCCAACCAGCUUGCUGGGGGGAGCGGUCGAAGGUGGGGCUGGCGAUUGGGACGAAGUCGUAACAAGGUA
rnacentral:rRNA from 1 species